GUAUGAACGCCCAUGAGGGCCCAACUGUCUCCCUUGGCCACUCAAUGAACCUGAUCCCCCAGUACAAAAGCUGGGAUAACCACAUAAGACGAGAAGACCCCGUGGAGCUUAAGAUCAACCACCACGCCCCUUUGGUGCCUCUCUUCAGUUGGGGCGACUACGGAAAAAAAUAAAACUUCCACGCACACAAAUUACAGCAGCUAACAGGCCAAUGUAAUAAUUAACUGACCCAGUACAACUGAUUAACGAACCAAGUUACCCCGGGGAUAACAGCGCCAUCCUCUUAUAGAGCCCCUAUCGCCAAGAGGGUUUACGACCUCGAUGUUGGAUCAGGACCCCCAACUGGUGCAGCCGCUACUAAUGGUUCGNNNN
rnacentral:rRNA from 1 species